rnacentral:rRNA from 1 species
CUACACACGUGCUACAAUGGUGACCACAAAGGGCAGCGAAGUCGCGAGGCCAAGCAAAUCCCAAAAAAGUCAUCUCAGUUCGGAUUGAAGUCUGCAACUCGACUUCAUGAAGUUGGAAUCGCUAGUAACCGUGAAUCAGCUAUGUCACGGUGAAUAUGUUCCUGGGUCUUGUACUCACCGCCCGUCAAGUCAUGAAAGGCAGGGGCACCUGAAGCACCCUUACCCCUCGGGGGGGGUACCACGGUGAAACUGCUGAUUGGGACUAAGUCGUAACAAGGUAUCCGUAGGAGAACCUGCGGAUGGAACACUUCCUUA